CCUAAUGUCAAAGGUAUAUUUUUUAUUCGAAGUUGUAGGAGUAUGCGGAAUGGAAGAAUUUGAACAAUUUUCUUGUAUCUACAUAACCUAUAAUAAGCUUUUAUUAUUAUUACAGAACAGAUUAUUAGCUUACAUGCCCAUUUUAAAUGAAAAAAGAUCUGCAGCAAUUGCAAAAUAGAGAUGGAUAGCUAUAAUAACAAGAAGUUUACAUGCAUUCGACCGAACUUGCAAAAACUGGCAGAUAAUAUAUCAAAUUUAUUAACCAGAAACUCAGCCACAGUUUAUGAAAAGCGGUAUGAAAAAUUUUUUUUUGGCGCAGAAACAACCAUGCAAAAUAUAUGGAGAACACCUCAUUGCAUACAAGUAUUUCGCUGAAAAAGCAAAUUCUGUGAAAUCUUUAACACUUUGGGCUGCAUAGUCGUAGUUAAAGUCAACUCUGUUAAUAAAAAACAGCAUAGAUAUAUCCAAGUACACCAAGUUUUCAAGCAAAAAAUAUAGGUUACAUUGCCAAGAAAUCAAAUAUAUUUACAAGAGAAGACUUACCAAAAUUUUUAACAGAAGCCCGUGAUUAAAUGUACCUGAUGUUAAAGGUUUAUUUUUUAUUAGAAGUUGUAGGAGCAUGUGGAAUGGAUAAAUUGAAAAAUAAUGACGGCAUUCAAGACAAAAA